AGAGGAAACCGCUCCCCAUUGCGUUCUCUCUCUCUGACUCACGAACGUCCAAUACCGAAAGCAAAGUGGGUCCCGUGGGUGAUCUUGAGCCCUAGCCCCACCCUGGCCACUUGUUCCAGUCACUCAGCAUCCUGUCAAGGGCAGCAGAGCAUCCACCACUGAGGCAAACUCGAGCUUUGCCACAUUCUCUCAUUUCAUCCAGAAAACCACUCUUGGCUGGGCGGUUUCCACGAGAAGGAAGUGGACACAGGUUCUGCCCGGGGAUCAAACUCUGGACCUUGUGCUUGCAAGGCAAGCAGUGGAACUACGAGUGAAUGGGAGUUCAGAUUGGGGCCAGUAGCCCCUGCUUGACUCUGCUCCCACUUACCCUGAACCCUGGCUGGGGCACAGACUGUCCUGGGAGCCUGUGAUCCCCUUUUUCGCUCAGCCACCUUCUACUUCCUGCCGCCAGGCCAUGAACAGUUUUUCAGGCCCCUUGAAGUGUUCUGCUUUGGAAUCACUAGACUCUGGACUGAAACCUCUACAAACUGUGAGCCAAAAUCAGCCGCUCUUCCUACCUUGUGGUUUCAAGGCAGGUGCUGGAACCACUGAGCUAAAUCCCCAGCAGUGACAUUUUCUUUUGGCGAGCCAACCAGCAGGUAAAAGAGACAUUGGCACUUCCAUUUUGGUAAGUUCAGUCAAAGCCUUUGUAUUUUUUAGUUUUAUUAUUUUUUGCCUUCUCCAUUUCUCCCAACCCCUUGCCCUCUGAACCAUGACUUAUUUCCUUUUCUCCCCUUUUCCCCUUUUCUCUUUCCCUUUCCUCAAACCUCUGCAACCCUGCAACUCUUUGGUAGUCAAAGGCUCCCAAGUCUCUAGAAACAUGGGUGCUUAUUGAUAAAAGCAAGGAAGAUCAGAAGCACUUUCUGCCUCUAGCAAGAAAUGGGAAGAGGUGUCACAGGGAACGUUCUGAGAUGUGUGGCACCCUUGGUAAGUGCUCCCUCAGGUCCAUAUACUCUGUUCCUGGGUCAGAUGGAACUAAAAUUUGCUCACCAGGGAGACAUAUGAGGAUGAUAGACCCAUCCAGUGCCUCAGGCAGUUUCUUACACAACCAGCAUGGGAAACCCAGUGGUGAGACCCCACAGAGAGGACCAGCCCUGCUGGGCCGCAGGGUUAGUUGUCUAAGAAGCCACCAGAGCAUCUUUCUUCCAAACCGACUAUCCCAUCCUGAGAGUCCAGGGGCCCCCGUCCUCACCCACACUUGCCACUGUCCCUCUUCUGGGACAGUGUCUUUCUGACACAAACACCCCAGGGCGAGCUUUCUCCCAGAACCCUGUCACUAUCAGAUUAGAAACUCUUCAAGGCCUGGCCUGGUGGCACACACCUGUAAUCCCAACAAUCCCAGAA
rnacentral:lncRNA from 1 species